GACGUAGGGCGCGAGCGUUGUCCGGAUUUAUUGGGCGUAAAGAGCUCGUAGGCGGCUUGUCGCGUCAACUGUGAAAACCUGUGGCUCAACCAUGUGGUCUGCAGUCGAUACGGGCAGGCUAGAAUUCGGUAGGGGAGACUGGAAUUCCUGGUGUAGCGGUGAAAUGCGCAGAUAUCAGGAGGAACACCGGUGGCGAAGGCGGGUCUCUGGGCCGAUAUUGACGCUGAGGAGCGAAAGCGUGGGGAGCGAACAGG
rnacentral:rRNA from 1 species